ensembl:lncRNA
CACUCUCCCUGUCUCUGUGUCUCUCCCUCCCCCGCACCUCUCUGAUUCAGAGGGGUUGGGUUAAAUGCACAAUACAUAUUUCGGUUGAAUACAUUCAGUUGCGCAACUGACUAUAUAUAUACAGUGGUGGAAAAUAAGUAUUUGGUCACCUACAAACAAGCAAGAUUUCUGGCUCUCACAGUCCUGUAACUUCUUCUUUAAGAGGCUCCUCUGUCCUCCACUCGUUACCUGUAUUAAUGGCACCUGUUUGAACUUGUUUUCAGUAUAAAAGACACCUGUCCACAACCUCAAACAGUCACACUCCAAACUCCACUAUGGCCAAGACCAUAGAGCUGUCAAAGGACACCAGAAACAAAAUUGUAGACCUGCACCAGGCUGGGAAGACUGAAUCUGCAAUAGGUAAGCAGCUUGGUUUGAAGAAAUCAACUGUGUGAGCAAUUAUUAGGAAAUGGAAGACAUACAAGACCACUGAUAAACUCCCUCGAUCUGGGGCUCCACGCAAGAUCUCACCCCGUGGGGUCAAAAUGAUCACAAGAACGGUGAGCAAAAAUCUGCCUGCUCCUCCUCUCCGUCCCAGGACCCCGGCUCUAGGUGCUGCUCUGCUCUUCCUCUCCGUCCCAGGACCCCGGCUCUAGGUGCUGCCUGCUCCUCCUCUCCGUCCCAGGACCCCGGCUCUAGGUGCUGCCUGCUCCUCCUCUCCGUCCCAGGACCCCGGCUCUAGGUGCUGCCUGCUCCUCCUCUCCGUCCCAGGACCCCGGCUCUAGGUCCUGUCUGCUCCUCCUCUCCCUCCCAGGAACCCGGCUCUAGGUCCUGUCUGCUCCUCCUCUCCGUCCCAGGACCCCGGCUCUAGGUCCUGUCUGCUCCUCCUCUCCCUCCCAGGACCCCGGCUCUAGGUCCUGUCUGCUCCUCCUCUCCCUCCAGGAACCCGGCUCUAGGUCCUGUCUGCUCCUCCUCUCCCUCCCAGGACCCCGGCACUAGGUCCUGUCUGCUCCUCCUCUCCCUCCAGGAACCCGGCUCUAGGUCCUGUCUGCUCCUCCUCUCCCUCCAGGAACCCGGCUCUAGGUGGUUUUCAGGGUUCUCCCCUCUGCCUUGGCCAGGAGACAGUAGACUUAGUGGCUGCUGGUAAUCAGAGCUUGUUACUGGGACAUUGUUACAGUGUUUGUCUGUUUGUGUGUCUGUGUCUGAGUCUGUGUGUGUGUGUCUGUGGGUGUGUGUCUGUGUGUUAAUGGCGCUCCGCUUGGCGUGGCUCGUGGCCCAACGGUUGACAUUGAACCAUGUAAUUGAGUUAGCCAAGGCUGCCCAUCCUCAUCACCUAGCUGUGUAUAUAUGUGAUCAGCUGCCCAUAACCCUAGCAGUACAAGGCUCUCAUUUGUCAUUUCCCUCAUUACUGACAGAACGUGUGUGUGUGUGUGUGUGUCAGAGCGAGAGAGUAUGAGCGUGUGUGUGUGUGUGUGUGUGGCAGAGCGAGAGAGUAUGAGCGUGUGUGUGUGUGUGUGUGUGUGUGUGUGGCAGAGCGAGAGAGUAUGAGCCUGUGUGUGUGUGUGUGUGUGUGGGAGAGCGAGAGAGUAUGAGCGUGUGUGUGUGUGUGUGUGGCAGAGUGAGAGAGUAUGAGCAUGUGUGUGUGUGUAUGUGUGUGUGUGUGUGUGUGUGUGGCAGAGCGAGAGAGUAUGAGCGUGUGUUUUUGUGUGUGUGUGUGCAUAUUGGAAGUGCAGAUCUCCC